GAUGAACGCUAGCUACAGGCUUAACACAUGCAAGUCGAGGGAACGACAUCGAAAGCUUGCUUUUGGUUGGGCGUCGACCGGCGCACGGGUGAGUAACGCGUAUCCAACCUGCCCACCACUUGGGGAUAACCUUGCGAAAGUAAGACUAAUACCCAAUGAUAUCCCACGAAGGCAUCGGAAUGGGAUUAAAGAUUUAUCGGUGAUGGAUGGGGAUGCGUCUGAUUAGCUUGUUGGCGGGGUAACGGCCCACCAAGGCAACGAUCAGUAGGGGUUCUGAGAGGAAGGUCCCCCACAUUGGAACUGAGACACGGUCCAAACUCCUACGGGAGGCAGCAGUGAGGAAUAUUGGUCAAUGGGCGAGAGCCUGAACCAGCCAAGUAGCGUGCAGGACG
rnacentral:rRNA from 1 species